rnacentral:tRNA from 1 species
GGGGAUAUAGCUUAUUUGGUAGAGUGUUUGUCUUGCAUACAAGGUCCUGGGUUCAAUCCCCAGCACUACA